CUGUUCUGAGAUCAGUGCAGACAGACAGCACACUGGAGGUUAAGUCAUGCACUAAAUAGGGAGCAAGGGAGCAUCCUAUAGCUCUCUAUAACUGUUCUGAGAUCAGUGCAGACAGACAGCACACUGGAGGUUAAGUCAUUCACUAAAUAGGGAGCAAGGGAGCAUCCUAUAGCUCUCCUAUAACUGUUCUGAGACCAGUGCAGACAGACAGCACACUGGAGGUUAAGUCAUUCACUAAAUAGGGAGCAAGGGAGCAUCCUAUAGCUCUCCUAUAACUGUUCUGAGACCAGUGCAGACAGACAGCACACUGGAGGUUAAGUCAUUCACUAAAUAGGGAGCAAGGGAGCAUCCUAUAGCUCUCCUAUAACUGUUCUGAGACCAGUGCAGACAGACAGCACACUGGAGGUUAAGUCAUUCACUAAAUAGGGAGCAAGGGAGCAUCCUAUAGCUCUCCUAUAACUGUUCUGAGACCAGUGCAGACAGACAGCACACUGGAGGUUAAGUCAUUCACUAAAUAGGGAGCAAGGGAGCAUCCUAUAGCUCUCCUAUAACUGUUCUGAGACCAGUGCAGACAGACAGCACA